AUGAGGAUGAUGGGAACUGUAGUCUUGUAGUCUGCACCUGAUGGACUGUCAGGCACAGCUGUGACACCAACCUCAUUGCCCUCUCAGCGCUGCCUGCUGUGCCACCGUGCUGCCCUUAUAAACAUAAAAUCAGUGCUUCUGCCAUUCCGACAGUCCAUUCACAACCAAUGAGAGUGGGAGGAAAGAGAUAAGCAGGAUUUGUCCUUCACCUGCUUCGUCUUAAGCACACACAGAAGGGUCAGUGGGGUUUAAGCAGCUAAGCUAAAAGGAAAACAAGGUGGCUCACCUGGAUUUACUCCAUCUCCUCUGAGCUGGAGCAGGAAGAAUGAGUUCAAACCAAAGAGCAUCUAGAAACCCUGGGAUCUAUAGGAGGCAAACAAAAAGCAGCAGUGGCCUCCUUUGAACAGUCAGUUUAGGAAGUGGCCCACUGGAGAACACUAGGAUCCUGACAUGGCUUUACAUGGUCCCAUGUGCACCAUGUCACCACAUAAUUUGCUAGCAUCCAAAACAGGACCAUCCAGACACCACAGCUGGAACAGAGGAGCCCAGAACUUCAAAUCACAGACCACAAACCACGUCAGUGCCCGUUCUUGAGGUAAAAGCCCCCAGACAAAGUGCUCACUCAGAUCAGAGCUGUUUGGGUGUUUAAAGUGUGAGGUGAAUGAGAGAUCAGAACACAGAUGCACGCACUGGGAUGCAGAUCAAAGGGAGGCAGAGCCGUGCAUUACUCCAUCUCUCUUAUCUGCCAAAUCUCUGACGAUGGCUGUGCCAACAGCCCUCCAUCCAGACUCUCUCAGAACAUAAACACGGUGACAGAAGUGAGCGUGAGAUCUACCUGUUAAGCCUUCAAGAAUAUACAGAGCAAAUUAAGGAGUUUCGUGCAAAGGGAGUCAAUAGGCUGAAUCAAAUAAAACCACUUCACAGUGUUCAGCUUUAAAAUACUCAUGUCAAAAAGUCAAAAAGAUACUCUUAUGUUUUGUUUUGUUUUUUUUCGACCUAAUCUCUGUUUUCUACAUCAGUCCACCGUGUGUUAUUAUCAUGGAAAAGAACUUCUGUCCAUAAUGAGAAAAGCACAGAAAAUCUGUUAUGACAAAUUUAUCAAUCUAAGGGCAUUUGCUGAAUUCCAACAAUACACGUGAAAAGUCAAAGCUUCAACUAUUACAAUUAUUAAAUUAAAUAAUAUUAAUAUUACAGGGCUAUGUUUACCCUCCUGAGACUCAUAUGAUGACAUCACAAUUUCUCCCAAACAUUUUGUGUACAUAUCGUUGUAACAUCCUCAUAUGAUGACAGUUGGGUAUUCCCGAAACGUCUUCCUGUCUGAAGACAUUGACAGAAGGCAAAGGAACAAGAUGAAAUAAGUGUUUCAAAUGGCUGGUGUUAUAAAUAUGAUGUUUACAGUAUGAUGUAAAACAAACACUCCUGUAUUGGAAGAAAUCCCCAGGCUGUUUUUGUCUACUUCAAUAAAGAUUGUUGAUAUUGCUAAUAGCAUACUGUGUGUGGAGAGAAUCUACAGUAUACUAUGUAUU